AUUGAACGCUGGCGGCAUGCUUUACACAUGCAAGUCGAACGGUAACAGGCCGCAAGGUGCUGACGAGUGGCGAACGGGUGAGUAAUGCAUCGGAACGUGCCCAGUCGUGGGGGAUAACGCAGCGAAAGCUGCGCUAAUACCGCAUACGAUCUCUGGAUGAAAGCGGGGGACCGAAAGGCCCCGCGCGAUUGGAGCGGCCGAUGUCAGAUUAGGUAGUUGGUGGGGUAAAGGCCCACCAAGCCAACGAUCUGUAGCUGGUCUGAGAGGACGACCAGCCACACUGGGACUGAGACACGGCCCAGACUCCUACGGGAGGCGGCAGUGGGGAAUUUUGGACAAUGGGCGCAAGCCUGAUCCAGCAAUGCCGCGUGCAGGAAGAAGGCCUUCGGGUUGUAAACUGCUUUUGUACGGAACGAUACGGUCCGGGCUAAUACCCUGGGCUAAUGACGGUACCGUAAGAAUAAGCACCGGCUAACUACGUGCCAGCCGCCGCGGUAA
rnacentral:rRNA from 1 species